AGUCAACGGACAAUCCCAGUCAGCGGUAAAAAAAACGGUUCAAGCGUAUGUAUGUACAUACAUAUGUAUGUACAUACAAAUGUGUGUAAUCUUUAAUUUCGAUUCAUUUCAGCAUUUGAACACCAUUUACCAUUUAUUGGCUUUAACUGUAGACUAGGCAAGAAAAACCUUGCAAACUUAAACAUAUGGCACUUAGUAAGCAUAAAUUCUUAAUUUCCAUUUCCCGCCCCAUCUUUGGCCGCUGCAUAUUGCAAUCCCUUCAGCAGUGGCGAGUCCUCCACAUCAUUAUUCUUCACAGGCUCCAACGAGCUAUUCGUCUCGAUGGAACUAAUCUCGAUCUUGUGCAUCAGGCUCUUCUGCCAGAUCAUUUGAUGGGGAUACCAGAAUACCAUCAGCAAACCCAAGACCACGCCCAGGAUGCCACAGAUCUUGCCCACAAACUCAAGGAUCGGCAUUAGCUUCACGUAGACCAGAAGAUCAUCCGUGAUGCGGACAUUGUAAUCCGCCCAGAUCAACGGAAAGAAUGUUCUUCUCGCCGUCCGGCCCCAAUACUUACAAAUGAGUUUUGGGCUCCACCAGCAAGUUGGCCAUAAUGCGCGCCUUGAUCUCCAGCACCAUUCCCGUUUUGGGCUCCAACAUAAUGACCAUCUCGUGGCGAUCCUUGUCGGGCUUCAUGCCCUCCACCUGCUCUCCGUAGUAGGGAUCAGCUUUGAAGAAGUGCGGAUACGAAGCAAAGACAGGCGUUCCAUACCAACAGGAGGAUAUGUUGAGAAGACCGGAUCUCACCUCCUGGCAGUUAUCCUGGCAAUAGCAACUGUUAUCCGGGUUAUCAGUACCUGGUAUGGAAAAGGUGAUUAAUAGAUAAACUAGCAAUUUCACUCCUGAUUAUCCAGUACUUACCAUUUGCCAUAUUGCGUGCACUGCCUCUGUAAACGAAAGCAUCGAUGCCCUCGAAGAUUGUGGUGCCGGAGUAGUCCACCUGCAGCUCACGGCACAGAUCCGGCAGGAAGUAGGAGAUGGGUCUGCCCUUUACCAGCGGUAUUGGAUGGAAUUCUCCGGCGCUGCCCUUCAACUUGCACCUGGGACUGGCCUCAGUGACAUUGUUGUAGCGCCACCUGGCUAUUUGACCCAGUUUUUGGAACUCAUCCCGUCCCGUGUACACAUUGUGAUGCCCGUAGAUUUCCAUGCUGCCAUUGCGCUGCAGGAAUUAUGUAUUUUAAUUGUGGAACUAUUAAAUAUAUAUCGCCUCCUAACUCACUGGAUACGCAUAGCCGAUCUUCUCAUAGGGGAACUUCAUCUCCGGCACAAGACUUGGUGGCACCAUUUUGCUCAUCUUGAUCAUCGGCGUGUCGAAGCCGUCGAACAUCCAAUCGCUGGCUGGCCGUAUCAUGGCCUGCUCCUUGCCGUAGAUAUUCAGGGCCAAGAGCAUGAGGGAACGCAGCAUGGGACUCCACAUGACCAUCUUCUGGUACAGUCCCACAAUGAGCAGGUUGGGCGCCACAAUGGGAUCUGUAGGACGUCCGACACUAAGUUUCGGAUCGAAAUCGAAUCGACUGCGACGUCGAUAGGAAACCGUCGAGUUCUCAUCGUGCCACUCCACAUUGACCUUCUGCAUCCGUUCGGUGAAGCGAUACGGACC
ensembl:ncRNA asRNA:CR44996 antisense RNA:CR44996